rnacentral:rRNA from 1 species
UACGUAGGGGGCAAGCGUUAUCCGGAUUUACUGGGUGUAAAGGGGGCGCAGACGGCGAUGCAAGCCAGGAGUGAAAGCCCGGGGCCCAACCCCGGGACUGCUCUUGGAACUGCGUGGCUGGAGUGUAGGAGGGGCAGGCGGAAUUCCUGGUGUAGCGGUGAAAUGCGUAGAUAUCAGGAGGAACACCGGUGGCGAAGGCGGCCUGCUGGACUGCAACUGACGUUGAGGCCCGAAAGCGUGGGGAGCAAACAGG